rnacentral:tRNA from 1 species
AAUAAAAUGGCUGAAAUUUAAGCGAUAAAUUGUAAAUUUAUUUAUGAGAAUAUUCUCUUUUAUUA